GCAUAGGGUUUCGGCCCUGAUGGCGACCGGCGCACGGGUGAGUAACGCGUACACAAUCUACCCUUAAGAGGGGGAUAGCCUUGGGAAACUAAGAUUAAUACCCCAUGUGAUUAGAUUUUAGCAUUGUGAUCUAAUUAAAACUACGGUGCUUAAGGAUGAGUGUGCGUCCCAUUAGCUUGUUGGUAAGGUAACGGCUUACCAAGGCUACGAUGGGUAGGGGGCGUGAGAGCGUGACCCCCCACACGGGUACUGAGACACGGACCCGACUCCUACGGGAGGCAGCAGUAAGGAAUAUUGGACAAUGGGCGAAAGCCUGAUCCAGCCAUCCCGCGUGAAGGAUUAAGGCCCUACGGGUUGUAAACUUCUUUUGUAUGAGACGAAUAGUUGAGAUUUAUCUUGAUGUGACGGUACCAUACGAAUAAGCACCGGCUAACUCCGUGCCAGCAGCCGCGGUAAUACGGAGGGUGCAAGCGUUAUCCGGAAUUACUGGGUUUAAAGGGUGCGUAGGCGGCCAUAUAAGUCAGUGGUGAAAUGUCUCCGCUUAACGGAGGACUCGCCUUUGAUACUGUAUGGCUUGAAUUAGGUUGAGGUUAGCGGAAUGUGGCAUGUAGCAG
rnacentral:rRNA from 1 species